ACGCCUGCCCGGUGCUGGAAGGUUAAGGGGAUCUGUUAGAGCAAUCGAAGCAGUGAACUUAAGCCCCAGUAAACGGCGGCCGUAACUAUAACGGUCCUAAGGUAGCGAAAUUCCUUGUCGGGUAAGUACCGACCCGCACGAAAGGCGUAACGAUUUGGGCACUGUCUCAACAACAGACUCGGUGAAAUUGUAAUUCCGGUGAAGAUGCCGGAUACCUGCGACAGGACGGAAAGACCCCAUGGAGCUUUACUGUAGCUUGACAUUGGGUCUUGGUACUACAU
rnacentral:rRNA from 1 species